UACGGAGGAUGCGAGCGUUAUCCGGAUUUAUUGGGUUUAAAGGGCGCGUAGGCGGACGCUUAAGUCAGCGGUAAAAUUGCGGGGCUCAACCUCGUCGAGCCGUUGAAACUGGGUGCCUUGAGUGGGCGAGAAGUACGCGGAAUGCGUGGUGUAGCGGUGAAAUGCAUAGAUAUCACGCAGAACUCCGAUUGCGAAGGCAGCGUACCGGCGCCCUACUGACGCUGAAGCACGAAGGCGUGGGUAUCGAACAGG
rnacentral:rRNA from 1 species